rnacentral:rRNA from 1 species
AUUGAACGCUAGCGGCAUGCCUUACACAUGCAAGUCGAACGGCAGCGCGGGGGGCAACCCUGGCGGCGAGUGGCGAACGGGUGAGUAAUGCAUCGGAACGUGCCCAUCGAUGGGGGAUAACUGCGCGAAAGCGUUGCUAAUACCGCAUACGACCUGAGGGUGAAAGCAGGGGACCGCAAGGCCUUGCGUCGAUGGAGCGGCCGAUGUCGGAUUAGCUAGUUGGUGGGGUAAAGGCCUACCAAGGCGACGAUCCGUAGCUGGUCUGAGAGGACGACCAGCCCACACUGGGACUGAGACACGGCCCAGACUCCUACGGGAGGCAGCAGUGGGGAAUCUUGGACAAUGGGCGCAAGCCUGAUCCAGCAAUGCCGCGUGUGGGAAGAAGGCCUUCGGGUUGUAAACCACUUUUGGCAGGAAAGAAAUCGUCCGUGCUAAUACCAUGGAUGGAUGACGGUACCUGCAGAAUAAGCACCGGCUAACUACGUG